UAUGCAACCUACCUUAAUCAGGGGGAUAGCCUCUCGAAAGAGAGAUUAACACCGCAUAACAUCAUUUUACGGCAUCGUAGAAUGAUCAAAUAUUUAUAGGAUUAAGAUGGGCAUGCGUGACAUUAGCUAGUUGGUGAGGUAAUGGCUCACCAAGGCUACGAUGUCUAGGGGAUCUGAGAGGAUGACCCCCCACACUGGUACUGAGACACGGACCAGACUCCUACGGGAGGCAGCAGUAAGGAAUAUUGGUCAAUGGAGGCAACUCUGAACCAGCCAUGCCGCGUGCAGGAAGACGGCCCUAUGGGUUGUAAACUGCUUUUAUACGGGAAUAAACCUCUCUACGUGUAGGGAGUUGAAUGUACUGUAAGAAUAAGGAUCGGCUAACUCCGUGCCAGCAGCCGCGGUAAUACGGAGGAUCCAAGCGUUAUCCGGAUUUAUUGGGUUUAAAGGGUGCGUAGGCGGCCUAUUAAGUCAGGGGUGAAAGACGGUGGCUCAACCAUCGCAGUGCCCUUGAUACUGAUGGGCUUGAUUACACUUGAGGUAGGCGGAAUGUGACAAGUAGCGGUGAAAUGCAUAGAUAUGUCACAGAACACCAAUUGCGAAGGCAGCUUACUAAGGUGUCAAUGACGCUGAGGCACGAAAGCGUGGGAUCAAACAGGAUUAGAUACCCUGGUAGUCCACGCCCUAAACGAUGAAUACUCGAUGUUAGCGAUAUACAGUUAGCGUCAAAGCGAAAGCGUUAAGUAUUCCACCUGGGGAGUACGCCCGCAAGGGUGAAACUCAAAGGAAUUGACGGGGGC
rnacentral:rRNA from 1 species